rnacentral:rRNA from 1 species
UUGCAGUUUAAAACGCUCGUAGUCGGAUUUCGGGGCGGCUUCGUCGGUCUGCCGAUGGGUAUGCACUGACGCGGGCGUCCUUCCUUCCGGAGACGCGUCCUACUCUUAGCUGAGCGGGGCGUGGAGACGGAUCGUUUACUUUGAAAAAAUCAGAGUGUUUCAAGCAGGCACCAUCGCUCUUGCAUGGAUUAGCAUGGGAUAAUGAAAUAGGACCUUGGUGCUAUUUUGUUGGUUUCGAGCACCGAAGUAAUGAUUAACAGGGACAGUCAGGGGCACUCGUAUUCCGCCGAGAGAGGUGAAAUUCUCAGACCAGCGGAAGACGAACCACUGCGAAAGCAUUUGCCAGGGAUGUUUUCACUGAUCAAGAACGAUAGUUAGGGGAUCGAAGACGAUCAGAUACCGUCNUANUCUUAACCAUAAACCAUGCCGACUAGGGAUUGGAGGAAUGUCCACUUUUGACUUCUUCAGCACCUUACGGGGAAACUAAAGUCUUUGGGUUCCGGGGGGAAGUAUGGGCGCNAGGCUGAAACUUAAAGGAUUUGACGGAAGGCACCCCC